AGAGUUUGAUCCUGGCUCAGGACGAACGCUGGCGGCGUGCCUAACACAUGCAAGUCGAACGGAACUGUUUUGAAAGAUUUCUUCGGAAUGAAUUUGAUUUAGUUUAGUGGCGGACGGGUGAGUAACGCGUGAGUAACCUGCCUUCAAGAGGGGGAUAACAUUCUGAAAAGAAUGCUAAUACCGCAUGACAUAUCGGAACCACAUGGUUUUGAUAUCAAAGAUUUUAUCGCUUGAAGAUGGACUCGCGUCCGAUUAGUUAGUUGGUGAGGUAACGGCUCACCAAGACCGCGAUCGGUAGCCGGACUGAGAGGUUGAACGGCCACAUUGGGACUGAGACACGGCCCAGACUCCUACGGGAGGCAGCAGUGGGGGAUAUUGCGCAAUGGGGGCAACCCUGACGCAGCAACGCCGCGUGAAGGAUGAAGGUUUUCGGAUUGUAAACUUCUUUUAUUAAGGACGAAAAUUGACGGUACUUAAUGAAUAAGCUCCGGCUAACUACGUGCCAGCAGCCGCGGUAAUACGUAGGGAGCAAGCGUUGUCCGGAUUUACUGGGUGUAAAGGGUGCGUAGGCGGCUUUGCAAGUCAGAUGUGAAAUCUAUGGGCUCAACCCAUAAACUGCAUUUGAAACUGUAGAGCUUGAGUGAAGUAGAGGCAGGCGGAAUUCCCCGUGUAGCGGUGAAAUGCGUAGAGAUGGGGAGGAACACCAGUGGCGAAGGCGGCCUGCUGGGCUUUAACUGACGCUGAGGCACGAAAGCGUGGGUAGCAAACAGGAUUAGAUACCCUGGUAGUCCACGCUGUAAACG
rnacentral:rRNA from 1 species